AUCUGUCGCGGGCGCAGGAAAUUUGAGAGGAGCUGUCCUUAGUACGAGAGGACCGGGAUGGACGCACCGCUGGUGUACCAGUUGUUCCGCCAGGAGCACCGCUGGGUAGCCAAGUGCGGACGGGAUAAGCGCUGAAAGCAUCUAAGCGCGAAGCCCACCUCAAGAUGAGAUUUCCCAUUCCUUCGUGGAAGUAAGACCCCUUGAAGAUGACAAGGUAGAUCGGUCCGAGGUGUAAGCACAGCAAUGUGUUCAGCUGACGGAUACGAAUCGGUCGAGGGCUUAUCCUA
rnacentral:rRNA from 1 species